rnacentral:rRNA from 1 species
AGUGAACGCUGGCGGUAGGCCUAACACAUGCAAGUCGAACGGCAGCACAGUAAGAGCUUGCUCUUACGGGUGGCGAGUGGCGGACGGGUGAGGAAUACAUCGGAAUCUACUUUUUCGUGGGGGGUAACGUAGGGAAACUUACGCUAAUACCGCAUACGACCUACGGGUGAAAGCAGGGGAUCUUCGGACCUUGCGCGAUUGAAUGAGCCGAUGUCGGAUUAGCUAGUUGGCGGGGUAAAGGCCCACCAAGGCGACGAUCCGUAGCUGGUCUGAGAGGAUGAUCAGCCACACUGGAACUGAGACACGGUCCAGACUCCUACGGGAGGCAGCAGUGGGGAAUAUUGGACAAUGGGCGUAAGCCUGAUCCAGCCAUACCGCGUGGGUGAAGAAGGCCUUCGGGUUGUAAAGCCCUUUUGUUGGGAAAGAAAAGCAGCAGGUUAAUACCCCGCUGUUCUGACGGUACCCAAAGAAUAAGCACCGGCUAACUUCGUG